rnacentral:rRNA from 1 species
UACGUAGGGGGCUAGCGUUUCCGGAAUCAUUGGGCGUAAAGAGCGCGUAGGCGGCCAGAUAAGUCCGGUGUGAAAGUCACAGGCUCAACCUGUGAAUGCCGCUGGAAACUGUCUGGCUAGAGUCCGGAAGGGGCGAGUGGAAUUCCUGGUGUAGCGGUGAAAUGCGCAGAUAUCAGGAGGAACACCAAUGGCGAAGGCAGCUCGCUGGAACGGUACUGACGCUGAGGCGCGAAAGCGUGGGGAGCAAACAGG